rnacentral:tRNA from 1 species
UCUUUGCUAGUAUAUCGGUUAGUACACGCGCCUGUCAUGGUAUUACUGUGCGCGCGAAAGCUGGGUUCGACUCCCAGGCAGAGAG